UACGGAGGGUGCGAGCGUUAAUCGGAAUAACUGGGCGUAAAGGGCACGCAGGCGGUGACUUAAGUGAGGUGUGAAAGCCCCGGGCUUAACCUGGGAAUUGCAUUUCAUACUGGGUCGCUAGAGUACUUUAGGGAGGGGUAGAAUUCCACGUGUAGCGGUGAAAUGCGUAGAGAUGUGGAGGAAUACCGAAGGCGAAGGCAGCCCCUUGGGAAUGUACUGACGCUCAUGUG
rnacentral:rRNA from 1 species